rnacentral:rRNA from 1 species
AGUGAACGCUGGCGGCGUGCUUAACACAUGCAAGUCGAGCGGGGUGAUGGUGCUUGCACUAUCACUUAGCGGCGGACGGGUGAGUAAUGCUUAGGAAUCUGCCUAUUAGUGGGGGACAACAUCUCGAAAGGGAUGCUAAUACCGCAUACGUCCUACGGGAGAAAGCAGGGGAUCACUUGUGACCUUGCGCUAAUAGAUGAGCCUAAGUCGGAUUAGCUAGUUGGUGGGGUAAAGGACUACCAAGGCGACGAUCUGUAGCGGGUCUGAGAGGAUGAUCCGCCACACUGGGACUGAGACACGGCCCAGACUCCUACGGGAGGCAGCAGUGGGGAAUAUUGGACAAUGGGGGGAACCCUGAUCCAGCCAUGCCGCGUGUGUGAAGAAGGCCUUAUGGCUGUAAAGCACUUUAAGCGAGGAGGAGGCUCUUUUGGUUAAUACCCAAGAUGAGUGGACGUUACUCGCAGAAUAAGCACCGGCUAACUCUGUGCCAGCAGCCGCGGUAA